ensembl:lncRNA
AUGCCAAGGACACAGCUGAAGUUGGGUGCACGUAGGCAGCACUGGGAAGUCAGCAUGCAGCUCAGAAACAGUGGUGGUUCUAUUCACCAAAAGGGCUUGGCUGCCAAGUUAGUCCUGACAUGCUUCAAACUCCGAGAAAGAAAGAAGAGAGGAAGAAACAAGAAGGCACUUUCAACCAGAGACUGUGAAACGUAUGAAAAUAUUCCAUCUCAUGACUCUCCUCCACUUUUAAGAGAAGGCAAAGGGUAUCAGCAGCAGGAGCAGGUGGUGCGCCGUCCCGUACAUUGUGAUUCACACUGAAACACCGUAGGAGGACUCACCAAGAAGGAUACUUCCUGUGCUUUGGGACUUGAUUUUGAUCACUUUCCACUUAAUGGGGCAAGAACAUAUUUAUGAGAACCAGGCUCAGGUACCUUGGGCAUGAACCAGCUUUUGUUUGCUUUCCCACCCAAACUCUUUCAGAACCACCUUCAUCUUCCGCCCCAGAAAAGUCACCUUCUUACAGAUCAUAGCUCUUAGUUCUGAAGAAUUUUGCCACUGAAUACAUAGUUCAUAUGUCUGCUGUAUGAUCAGACCCACUUCUUGUAAAAAACAGUCCCCUGGACUUCAACCACAGUGGUUCAAGAAGCACUUAGCUCUGCACUUAUUUCCAGCAUAGUAUUUUCUAGCAUAUUUUCCUAUCAAUAUCCUUUUCAAAAAAUGUCAGAAGCAGUGGAUCCUUGCCCAUCAGUCACACACUGCACAAGUAGCAGAGAGAGAGCCUAGCAGGAAAAAUUGGUUUUCCCCUUGCUCAUUGUGCUAAUUUAAACAGUGACUUACUGAACUUCUGGUGCUAGAGUCCCAAUGUGUCAAGCAAACAAGAAGAAAACAAAAAAAAACGAAUCACUCCAUGUGUGCAUUAGUUCUUAGUGUCAUAACAAGUGCACUCUUGAGCCAGCACAUUGAUGCUGCAUCACUUUCUCUCACUACCAGGGAAACACACACAUGCGGGUACUGACACGUACCAUGCCAGUUAGAGAGCUGAAAACUAGAACAACAUAUUUACAAUAAGUUGGCUGCAUACAUUAUUCUGAAUGUUAUCAGAACAGGAUAGUUCAUAAUCAACCGAUAAAGCAGCUACUAAGCUAUGAAACUGACUCAGUUGAAUGGCCAGAAGGAGAACGAAGCCAGACAAAAGAACAAAACCCAAAAGUAGAACAGAAAUUUGAAAAUCAGCCUAAUUUCCUAUUAUGGCUCAGUACACAAUGACCAAUUAAAUUAAAUUAAUGCACCACUACCCAUACUGUACACACCAUUUCACUGAAAUUACACAUUGAUAGCUACAUUAUCUACACUAAGUGCAGAGAGGCACUGGACAUCAUGCUUCAACAAAAUGUCAAAACUGGUAACAAUAAGGUUUUACAGCUAUUUGAACUAUUCUACCUGCAGUUCUUAUUAAUACCUGGUACAAGUGAUCUAAAGUACAAGAAAGAGAUAAUAAUACAAGGGUACAUCAACACACUUCCUACAUGUCUAUCUACUAGAAAUUUAGUCUCCAAAACCUCAGCAGAAUAACACGGCCCCACAGAGUUUUGAAUAAGUGGUGAGAUUCCCAGUAUCAGUUACACUGGGACAGUAGUAUUUGCUAUUCAAUGUUUUGCUUUGAAUCAAGGAGCUAGCUGGCCAUAAAGAAAACUACACGUGAUACAAUUGUUAUUAAUACUUAUAUAUAUAUAUUUAUUUUUUUAUUCCACUCCAAACAGUUCUUUGUUCGGUAAAUAAAAAUAAUUGUAGCCACA